rnacentral:tRNA from 1 species
UCCGAUGUAGUCUAGUCGUUAUAAUUUUGCGGCUCUCGCCCGCAAGGUCCGGGUUCGAUUCCCGACAUCGGAU